rnacentral:rRNA from 1 species
CUGCUGCCUCCCGUAGGAGUCUGGUCCGUGUCUCAGUACCAGUGUGGGGGACCUUCCUCUCAGAACCCCUACGCAUCGUCGUCUUGGUGGUCCGUUACACCGCCAACUAACUAAUGCGACGCAUGCCCAUCCGCCACCGGAAUUAACCUUUGGCACCAACAGGAUGUCCCGUCGAUGCAUUAUGCCGUAUUAGACGGAAUUUCUCCCGAUUAUCCGGCUGUGGCAGGCAGGUUGCAUACGUGUUACUCACCCGUGCCG